CCACGGUUGUGUGUGCAGCGCUGGAUGUCAGCUCCAGAGCCGCUCUGAGUGCAGUGCCAUCCCACCUGCCUGCUUCGGCUCGGGGCGGCUGUCCCGGGACAGGGUGAUGCUGUGCUCCCCACAUCCCAGCUCACUGCCCACCCCGCGGCCCCGCAUCGCACACCAGGAAACACCUCCGAGCUGGGAACCGCCAGAAGAGCUCUGCAGCUGGCAGGGCACGCAGACAGCCGGCCUGUCGGGGCACGCCUCUGCGUUCCCAGAGCCAAAAACAUGAAAUCUCCCCUGUCAUCCUGAAUUCUUUUGAUGAUGAGAGAAGGCAACUGAGAAGUUCUGUUGCACAACCUUCAAGAUCAAAUGGUAAUUUAUUUCCAAUGCUCUUUGUUUCCUUGCACAACACACGGGCUCGGCAAUUAGCUGGAAGCAAAUAUUCCUCCUCGUUUUGCUCGAGCGUAGUUCGAGCGGUGUCCCACAAGCUUAGCAUUAACAUUAUCAGCUGCAAGCAUUGUUGAAGCUCAGACCAUUCGCCUGUGGUCUGCUUUUAUAUGCUGAAGCAUUCUUAAUGCAGUCUCGUUGCUGCCUGGGAAAGAAACCAGGCGGAGGUUCCUUCUCCUCGCAAGCUGCUGUAACAAACAGCUGUUGGAAGCACUCUGCAGCACGGCUCAGCGCACUGUUAGGGCAGCACGGAAGGAAAGCUCCACGCGAAAGCUUUCAUGCCAGGCUGUGUUGUUCCCAUCCCGCCUCCUACGCGGAGCACCAGGUCCCCUCCUGCACUGCUCAGCGUUGCUCUCCAGUGCUUUCUCCCACUGUGUUGGCUUUCUCCUGUUCAAACAAAGCAGGUUAUAUAAGAGCCGUGUCUUCAGGAUAGGCCCGUGUACACAGCAGCCGGCUCCCAGCAAAACAGAACUGGUGUGAGCGGAGGCGCACUGCGUCACCUGUGCUCACUGGGGAAGAAAUUUGGAUAGGCCAGAGAUCUUCGGUCAACACACGUUUGAUGAUGGACGAAAAGACUGCAGAGAGCCGUGUGAGCAGCGAUAAGUGCUUCUCAGAAAGGGCAGCCAAUCCCAGAGGCCUCCGCUAUUUUCCCCCCUUCAGAAUGAGGGGAGGUGAAAUUACCUGCCAGCUCCUCCACUGCUCAAUCCUGAGAGCUGGAGGGCGAGCCAAGGACGUGGUGCUGACUGUGCUGAUGCCCGAGAGCAAUUUCAGCACCCAGGAAACUCUUCUCUUGUCUUUGCAUCGGGAGUCUUCGGAUAGAAAUCAAAGAGCAAAAUUAAGUCACCCAAGCACUGGAGUGGUUCAGAGCCCAUUGCUGGCCAAUGCCUGGGCUGCACCUGGGCAGAUCCAAGGUGAGGCCUUAGCGGCCUGGAGCACCUUCUUUAUUAGGUAGAUCAGGUAAUCAGCAUCUUUAAGCCCCGUACUUGGGUAUUUUGGGGUCUGGACAUUUCUGCUGCAAGUCCCAAACAUUUGCUCCUGUUUUCCAGGCCAUGCCACAGCUGGGUCCCACUCUGCACAGCGCAUACUGCAUGAGGAGAGCAUCAGCUGCACCUGCAGCAUGGAUUUAUUGCUCACCAUCUCUGAGCCUACAACUCCAGAGGGAAAAAUGAUAGCGUGAAAGAAUAGCUGCUGGCAGCUUUUGCACCAGCCAGAAGGAGGCAUGAAUUAUCUCCAGCAGUUAUUGGCCACGCUUAUGAUGCAGAGGCUUCCCUCAAGGUGUGGUGGGACAUGGGCUUUUUACACAUUAAAUGUUAAAAGGGGGAUGAUAAAGACCUGCAGUGGCAAUAGGACCCCUAGUUGUUGGUAAGCUGCUUGACCUUCGAUCCAUUUCAUUUUGGGAAAACCUGCAAGGCAUUUUGUUGAAAGGCUUGUAACCCUGCCCUGUGUGUCUGUGCUCUCCGUCUGUGCCCG
ensembl:lncRNA